GACGAACGCUGGCGGCGUGCCUAAUACAUGCAAGCAGAACGCUGAAGGAGGAGCUUGCUUCUCUGGAUGAGUUGCGAACGGGUGAGUAACGCGUAGGUAACCUGCCUGGUAGCGGGGGAUAACUAUUGGAAACGAUAGCUAAUACCGCAUAAUAGCAGUUGUUGCAUGACAACUGUUUGAAAGGUGCAAUUGCACCACUACCAGAUGGACCUGCGUUGUAUUAGCUAGUUGGUGGGGUAACGGCUCACCAAGGCGACGAUACAUAGCCGACCUGAGAGGGUGAUCGGCCACACUGGGACUGAGACACGGCCCAGACUCCUACGGGAGGCAGCAGUAGGGAAUCUUCGGCAAUAGACGGAAGUCUGACCGAGCAACGCCGCGUGAGUGAAGAAGGUUUUCGGAUCGUAAAGCUCUGUUGUAAGAGAAGAACGAGUGUGAGAGUGGAAAGUUCACACUGUGACGGUAUCUUACCAGAAAGGGACGGCUAACUACGUG
rnacentral:rRNA from 1 species